AAUAAAGUUAAAUCAGCUCCAAAUGCUUUGUCCUGCAUGCCAUCCCCCAAAGCACUUCAGAUGACAAUUGAUAGCCUUGCUUGCUGGUGGGUACCACCUCUACAAGAAAGCUUUAAUUCUCGGCCAUACAAUCAACUCGUUUCUUUGGUAACUAAAAUUGACUUGGUAACCACUCAUAAAAAAAAAUCAUCCCUCAGGGCAUCUCAAUAAAGCUCGAGGCUUAAUCAAUUUUAGCUUUUCCAGUUUGAUCAAAAUUAUUGCUGUCCUCAGAUUCUGGUGAUUAGCCCUUUCGCUACAAUUAAUGGAGCCCCAUCCUAAGAUUCCUUGAUGAUUUUUUUGAACUUUCGUGGAAAGGGCAAAGAUUAAUGUAGUGGGGCCAUUCAUAUCAUGGUGCCAAAUUCUAUCUUCAUAAACUACAUAUGUAAAAAUAUUGGGUCAUAGUUUUCUCUUUCUAACAGCUUUAUAUAUUAGCUAUUUGCUCCCAAACUUAGACAAUUCAAUACUGACUCUCGAUCGACCAAAAAUGUGCAAAGGUUUACAACAAGGAAACAAAUCAAGUUCUUGUCCGAAAGAGGGUGUCUCACCUAAUGCAACCAGGGCUUCAGGAUUGGUGAAUUGUGAGCUGUGCAACUCCAGGGCUUCCCUAUAUUGCCCAGCUGAUGAUGCAUAUCUCUGUAGGAAAUGCGACUCAUGGGUUCAUGAAGCUAAUUUCUUAGCUCUCAGGCACAUCAGAUGCUUCCUUUGCAAUACAUGUCAAAAUCUAACGCAGAGAUACCUCAUCGGAGCUUCACAUGAGGUGCUGCUUCCAACAAUGGUUAGUUGGUCAGAGAGAAGGCAGUGUAACUAUGACAAGGAAAGAAAGCAUUCAACAACGCUUAAAACACCAUUUCUUUUUCUUUGACUGUCAUUUUUUUUUUUCUAUUAUGCACCUUUUGGUUAUGGGGGGAUCUUGUCUGGUUAGUCUGAGGUAUCAUUGUGGAAUGGAAGAAACUAGAAAGAGAUUCCUGUAUGGUUAUAUACAUGUAUACAAUAUAUAGCCAAAGUCAGAGACAAGAACAAUACUGGAAUCAUUAUCUUGAUGUAAUCCUCAGUAUUCUGUAAACCAGAUUGACUUUAUCGUUAAUGCAUUUUUGUUCUUAAUUUGCUCUGCA